UUUGAUUAAAUUUUUUAUGUGCUUAUUUUUAAUCGGUUUUUGAGUACACAAUUCACCCUCCCUCUUGUGUCGUUUGGAGUCACUUGACCAACAAAUGUGAUUAAUAAUGUUAUAACUAAAUGAUUUUUACCAAAUCACACCUCCAUAUAAAGUUUGAAAGGCCACUUAAAGUUGUGAGUUCUUAGUUUUUUUUUUGUCUUAACCCCCUUAUUCUCAUAGCAAAGGGCCAUGAUAUUCUUCCAUGUGUCCGGGAGGGUUGGGGGAAAACAAUUGUUGUAGGAGUGGACAAGCCAGGAGCUAGAUUGAGCCUCAGUUCUAGUGAGGUCCUUCAUGAUGGAAAGAGCCUUAUGGGAUCCGUGUAUGGAGGACUCAGACCCAAAUCUCAUGUGCCAAUUCUGCUUAAACGUUACAUGGACAAGGAACUGCAGUUGGAUGAAUUUGUGACUCAUGAGGUGGAAUUUAAGGACAUCAAUAAAGCUUUUGAUCUAUUGAGUAAAGGACAGUGUCUUAGAUGUGUGAUUUGGAUGGAAAAAUGAGUGCAUUCUUAUGUAAUAUUGUAAUCCUAAUAGCUAGCCUUUGAAUCAUGACAUAAUAUAUACAGCUAUAAAAAUAUUGGACAGUA